ensembl:rRNA 5S_rRNA 5S ribosomal RNA
GCCAGCAGCCAUAUCACUCUGCAACUCACAACUGGCAACCCACUGAAGCUCAGCAGGUGUGAGCCUGGUCAGUACCUGGAUGGGAGGCCUCCUGGGAAAAACUAAGGUUGCUGCUGGAA